rnacentral:rRNA from 1 species
AUUGAACGCUGGCGGCAUGCCCUACACAUGCAAGUCGAACGGCAGCACGGGUGCUUGCACCUGGUGGCGAGUGGCGAACGGGUGAGUAAUACAUCGGAACAUGUCCUGUAGUGGGGGAUAGCCCGGCGAAAGCCGGAUUAAUACCGCAUACGAUCUACGGAUGAAAGCGGGGGACCUUCGGGCCUCGCGCUAUAGGGUUGGCCGAUGGCUGAUUAGCUAGUUGGUGGGGUAAAGGCCUACCAAGGCGACGAUCAGUAGCUGGUCUGAGAGGACGACCAGCCACACUGGGACUGAGACACGGCCCAGACUCCUACGGGAGGCAGCAGUGGGGAAUUUUGGACAAUGGGCGAAAGCCUGAUCCAGCAAUGCCGCGUGUGUGAAGAAGGCCUUCGGGUUGUAAAGCACUUUUGUCCGGAAAGAAAUCCUUGGCUCUAAUACAGUCGGGGGAUGACGGUACCGGAAGAAUAAGCACCGGCUAACUACGU